UCAUUAUAUAAGUUAUCGUUUAUUUGAUAGUACCUUACUACUUGGAUAACCGUGGUAAUUCUAGAGCUAAUACAUGCUAAAAAUCCCGACUUUGGAAGGGAUGUAUUUAUUAGAUUAAAAACCAAUGCCCUUCGGGGCUCUCUGGUGAUUCAUGAUAACUUCUCGAAUCGCAUGGCCUUGCGCCGGCGAUGGUUCAUUCAAAUUUCUUCCCUAUCAACUUUCGAUGUUUGGGUAUUGGCCAAACAUGGUUGCAACGGGUAACGGAGGGUUAGGGCUCGACCCCGGAGAAGGAGCCUGAGAAACGGCUACUACAUCCAAGGAAGGCAGCAGGCGCGCAAAUUACCCAAUCCCGACACGGGGAGGUAGUGACAAUAAAUACUGAUACAGGGCUCUUUUGGGUCUUGUAAUUGGAAUGAGUACAAUUUAAACCCCUUAACGAGGAACAAUUGGAGGGCAAGUCUGGUGCCAGCAGCCGCGGUAAUUCCAGCUCCAAUAGCGUAUAUUAAAGUUGUUGUGGUUAAAAAGCUCGUAGUUGAACCUUGGGCCUGGCUGGCCGGUCCGCCUCACCGCGUGUACUGGUCCGGCCGGGCCUUUCCCUCUGUGGAACCCCAUGCCCUUCACUGGGUGUGGUGGGGAAACAGGACUUUUACUUUGAAAAAAUUAGAGUGCUCCAGGCAGGCCUAUGCUCGAAUACAUUAGCAUGGAAUAAUAGAAUAGGACGUGUGGUUCUAUUUUGUUGGUUUCUAGGACCGCCGUAAUGAUUAAUAGGGACAGUCGGGGGCAUCAGUAUUCAAUUGUCAGAGGUGAAAUUCUUGGAUUUAUUGAAGACUAACUACUGCGAAAGCAUUUGCCAAGGAUGUUUUCAUUAAUCAGGAACGAAA
rnacentral:rRNA from 1 species